rnacentral:lncRNA from 1 species
GAAGGAUGGCCCAACCCUGGGUGUCUGAUUGGGGAGAAGUGAGGGUCCUGGGUUUCCUGGGUUGUGGUGGAGAGUUGUCUGGCCCCUGCUUCCCUCCUCCUCAUAUCUGCCCACACCUCUCUCAGGGUUGGUGUGGAGGCUGCCAGCUUGGCCUUGGCUGACACCACCAUGUGAGCCUCCAGGAGUCCCAUUAGUUCCUUGGCUUGAGUUCUUAGCCCCAUGCCCUGGUCCCAGCACCCCUUAGGGUGAGGACAGAGCUUUGUUUUUGCCUAUGCUGCACAGAGCAGUGUCCAAAUUCUUCCAGAGGGUUCCAAUACACUGCUCUCUGUAACAAGUUUCAGUAACAGGGUGGGGAUGGCUCCUCUGUUUCUGAGGAGCCAGGAAGUCAAUUUGCCCUGGUACUCUCUGCUUGAUGUCCUCUGACUCCUUGGUCAUCAACUUGUUGGGAGUAAAGAUUAGGGAACCAGGGCUGAUGCUGGCUAAGUGGGAGCAUGGAAGCAGAUUCUCUGACUGGACACCAGGGUGAUGGCAGAAGAAAAUUCAUCCCAGGCCUAGUGAGGAUGGCAAGGAUGCUAGUAUCCAUUGCUUCUGGAUUUUGUUUGUGUGAGGUUCCCAGAUGAGCCAGGGCAGGUGGCCAGGGGUUUGGUCUGAUGUCCAAGCUUUCUUGGUUUUCUGGGCUCUGAGGAGACCAUAUAUUUUCUUAAGGGAGAGUUCUAACCCUCUUCAGUUCUUCUGUCUCAGCUAAGAGGAGUCCCUUGUCUACAGCCAGGAGUCUCUGGUCUGGGUGACUAUGGAAGUAAGGUUGUCCAAGGACUGACUUCUUUUUUGGGGGGAGAGAGAUGGGAGAUAGGGUAAGGAAAGAUAGUACAAACAGGCAGCAAGUGAGAAGAGAAAUGCAGAGGUAUGACACCGAGAGAUGGAGAGGAAGAUCUGGUCUAGGAGGCCUGAGAUUUGGGUCCUGGGCAUCCCUGGUGACCCCUUCCUGUCGCUCAUCAGUUUUAGUCUCUAUGAAAUAGGAUAUAGGCGUGUCUUCUCAUUUUGAGCUCAAACAGUGUUUCCUUGGGGGCUUAUGAGAGAGGUUGAGAUGAUCCUAACUUCUCAACUCUUGAGCUCCAGGGUAAAGAAAAGGCAGAGUGGAUGCAUCAGUCAGCACAGGCCAACAGAUGCUGCAGUAACAAACAGCCCCAUUCACAUGGCUUCCUCCUGCUCAAGGUAUCUGUGUAUUGAGGAUGAGAUGAGGCCUCUGUUCCUUACAGUUUUCCUGGUAAAGGUGGUUUCAUCUAGAAGUGUCUCUCAUCGCUGCCACCACAGGAAGAGGACUCUGAUGUGUACUAGACUCCUGCCAGGAGCUGACAUGUUCUUUCUGCUCACAUUUCAUUGGCUAAAAGAAACCAAGGUCUAAGAGCCGGGCGUGGUGGUGCACGCCUUUAAUCCCAGCACUUGGGAGGCAGAGGCAGGUGGAUUUCUGAGUUCGAGGCCAGCCUGGUCUACAGAGCAAGUUCCAGGACAGCCAGGACUACACAGAGAAACCCUGUCUCGAAAAACCAAAAAAAAAAAAAAAAAAAAAAAAAAAAAAAAAAGAAACCAAGGUCUAUGUCUAGCUAUCUAGCUCCAAAGGGGGCUGGAUUAUGCAUGCACAGAAGACAGAAAACUUGAGGACAGGUAAAACAGACCACUCUGUACUGUAGAGCCCCAGUGUGGAAUCUAAGAGUCAAGUGCUUUGUUUGUGAGCUCAUGUGUAAACCUGUGAUCCUUGGUGAAGCCGCUGUGCCUCUUCUGAGACCAUGUCU